GAUGAACGCUGGCGGCGUGCUUAACACAUGCAAGUCGAACGGUGAAGCUCCAGCUUGCUGGAGUGGAUCAGUGGCGAACGGGUGAGUAACACGUGAGCAACCUGCCCCUGACUCUGGGAUAACAGCCGGAAACGGCUGCUAAUACCGGAUAUGCACCAUGAACGCAUGUUCUGUGGUGGGAAAGAUUUUUCGGUUGGGAAUGGGCUCGCGGCCUAUCAGCUUGUUGGUGAGGUAAUGGCUCACCAAGGCGUCGACGGGUAGCCGGCCUGAGAGGGUGACCGGCCACACUGGGACUGAGACACGGCCCAGACUCCUACGGGAGGCAGCAGUGGGGAAUAUUGCACAAUGGGCGAAAGCCUGAUGCAGCAACGCCGCGUGAGGGAUGACGGCCUUCGGGUUGUAAACCUCUUUUAGCAGGGAAGAAGCGAGAGUGACGGUACCUGCAGAAAAAGCGCCGGCUAACUACGU
rnacentral:rRNA from 1 species